rnacentral:rRNA from 1 species
UACGUAGGGGGCAAGCGUUGUCCGGAAUCAUUGGGCGUAAAGAGCGUGUAGGCGGCCCGAUAAGUCCGCCGUGAAAGUCCAGGGCUCAACCCUGGAAUGCCGGUGGAAACUGUCGGGCUGGAGUCCGGAAGAGGCGAGUGGAAUUCCUGGUGUAGCGGUGAAAUGCGCAGAUAUCAGGAGGAACACCAAUGGCGAAGGCAGCUCGCUGGGACGUGACUGACGCUGAGACGCGAAAGCGUGGGGAGCGAACAGG